rnacentral:lncRNA from 1 species
GUCACUCAUCCUAUUGUUCUUUCUUCUUCGUUUCUUCCUAACCAUACACUGCAUGUCUGCAUUUUCCGCCAGAGUCCAUAGCGCCGCCGUCAGACCGCCGCUUGCCGGCCAGAAAAAUUCUAACUUUUCUACUUUUUUUCUUUAAGUCUAAUACUCUUUGGAGACGAACAACAGGGUCCAAGCUAUAAACAACUUUUGUCGACUACUCCGUUUUACAGAAAACUUCACUGGCGGAUGAUGGACCUGUGCCCCUCGGAAUCGCGGGCCCUGUUCGGUGGUCCUCCUCGCACACCCUCAGGGCCGCCCCUGAAUCUUAGAAGUGGCUGGACCAAGUCUGCACUAAGAAGAGCUCACGCAGACGUUUUUUAAUGAAAUGUCUUCGAAAAAACAAACAGUCUACGCGUGGCAAUGUCUGCACGACACAGACAGAAGAGCUUGCACAGAACUUUUCAGAAAAAACUAACAACACCUUAUGCGUUAAAAAAGUACAUAACGCCAUGCCAUGUAAGUAAUGGACUUUAACUAAGUAACUUUUUGGUUAUCACGUUGUGGUUUAACUAUCAGUUUGGAUCAUGAGCAAAGAUGAGUACUUCCACAUCUUGACAGGGCAACCGAGAUAGUCGUGUGACUGACUAUGCUUUCACACUGCAACGGUUUACCGCCUCCGAGUAUCGUAUGCACGCCACCGAUUCCAGCUAUCACCACUGUGACAAGGGUAGAUCUACCUAUCUAGGGUUUCUAAGGAGGGAGAUGGGUCAAAAUAAGUGAUCAGAUGGGGAAAAUAAAAAAGGGAGGGGUUCCUAAAACCCUAGAUCUAUGAAGAAGGUGGUGGUCAUCGUUGUAGAUCCAACGAUGGUGGUGAUCACAGACAGUGGUGGUGUUGAGAGUUUAGAGAGAAAGUGAGAGAUGGCAGUGGUUAUAGAUCUGACGGGUGGUGGUCAUUGACGGUGGUGGCUUUAGUUGAGAGGUGGUGGGGGUUUUAGUGAGGUGGUUGUGCUUUUAGUUUAAAGACGAUACACUUGUAAAUAUAUUUGUUUAUUUUUAACAAAAAGUUAUUUUUUUCAUUAUUUGUU